rnacentral:rRNA from 1 species
UGGGGGAUAUUGCACAAUGGGCGCAAGCCUGAUGCAGCGACGCCGCGUGGGGGAUGAAGGCCUUCGGGUUGCAAACUUCUUUUGCUCUGAACAAGGCGCACUUUGGGGUGUGUUGAGUGUAGGGGUUGAUUAGCGCCGGCUAACUACGUGCCAGCAGCCGCGGUAAUACGUAGGGCGCGAGCGUUGUCCGGAAUUAUUGGGCGUAAAGGGCUUGUAGGUGGCUGGUUGCGUCUGUCGUGAAAGCUCAUGGCUUAACUGUGGGUUUGCGGUGGGUACGGGCUGGCUUGAGUGCAGUAGGGGAGGCUGGAAUUCCUGGUGUAGCGGUGGAAUGCGCAGAUAUCAGGAGGAAUACCGGUGGCGAAGGCGGGUCUCUGGGCUGUUACUGACACUGAGGAGCGAAAGCAUGGGGAGCGAACAGG